UGCGCGGCGUCGCGGUCGUCAUGCUCCCGCCAACGCUUGGCGAGCAUGUAUUCUUCCUGCGGUUCCAGCAUCGGGAACUUGCGGAUUUCCGUCAGGUAGUGAGCAAGACCGGAUUCUCCGUUGAGAACCGGCAAAGUAGCGGCACGGGCCAUGGUGCGCCCUCCAGAGUUCACGCCCCCGAUAGCGGCGGGCGAGGCAGGCCAUCUGCUGUGUCAAAGCCAGAAGCACUGCAAUGUUCCGCGCCGGGACGAUCCCGAGCGCAGGUGCAACAUACUCCAAAACCCGAGGGGGAGGGAAGAACAAAACGGGGUCACGAACCCGUGACACGGGUUAAAUGUUUGUAACCAUGCGGCUUUUUAGCGCACCACCUUU
rnacentral:misc_RNA from 1 species